AGAACGAACGCUGGCGGCAGGCCUCAAACAUGCAAGUCUAGGGGGUGUAGCAAUACAUCACCGGCGGACGGGUGCGUAACGCGUGGGAAUGUACCUAUUGGUUCGGAACAACUGAGGGAAACUUCAGCUAAUACCGGAUGAGCCCGAAAGGGGAAGAUUUCUCGCCAAUAGAUCAGCCCGCGUCCGAUUAGCUAGUUGGUGGGGUUAAAGCCUACCAAGGCGACGAUCGGUAGCUGUUCUGAGAGGAAGAUCAGCCACACUGGGACUGAGACACGGCCCAGACUCCUACGGGAGGCAGCAGUUGGGAAUCUUGGACAAUGGGGGAAACCCUGAUCCAGCCAUGCCGCGUGAGUGAUGAAGGCCUUCGGGUUGUAAACUCUUUCGACGGGGACGAUAAUGACGGUACCCGUAGAAGAAGCUCCGGCUAACUUCGUGCCAGCAGCCGC
rnacentral:rRNA from 1 species